CUACGGAGGAUCCGAGCGUUAUCCGGAUUUAUUGGGUUUAAAGGGAGCGUAGGUGGACAGUUAAGUCAGUUGUGAAAGUUUGCGGCUCAACCGUAAAAUUGCAGUUGAUACUGGCUGUCUUGAGUACAGUAGAGGUGGGCGGAAUUCGCGGUGUAGCGGGGAAAUGCUUAGAUAUCACGAAGAACUCCGAUUGCGAAGGCAGCUCACUGGACUGCAACUGACACUGAUGCUCGAAAGUGUGGGUAUCAAACAGGAUUAGAUACCCUGGUAGUCCACACAGUAAACGAUGAAUACUCGCUGUUUGCGAUAUACAGUAAGCGGCCAAGCGAAAGCAUUAAGUAUUCCACCUGGGGAGUACGCCGGCAACGGUGAAACUCAAAGGAAUUGACGGGG
rnacentral:rRNA from 1 species